UACGUAGGGUGCAAGCGUUAUCCGGAAUUAUUGGGCGUAAAGAGCUCGUAGGCGGUUUGUCACGUCUGCUGUGAAAACUGGAGGCUCAACCUCCAGCCUGCAGUGGGUACGGGCAGACUAGAGUGCGGUAGGGGAGAUUGGAAUUCCUGGUGUAGCGGUGGAAUGCGCAGAUAUCAGGAGGAACACCGGUGGCGAAGGCGGGUCUCUGGGCAGUAACUGACGCUGAGGAGCGAAAGCGUGGGGAGCGAACAGG
rnacentral:rRNA from 1 species